AGUCCUUUCUUAACACGUUAACCGCCACAAGGCAGAUCGGGAAUUCCUCCGUGGCGCCAUGAUGUUUACCACGCUCCAGCGGUCAGUGCUGCGGUAGCAGCGAAGCGAGAAGAAACCAUUGAAUGGAGACUUAUCAGUUUUAUGGACAUGGUGAAAUGUCAUCUUCUGAUGACAGUGACGGGGAUAAAAGCUAUGAACCGUCACCAGAUGAAAUGGAAUCAAGUUAUGAAUCUGAUGCAAGCAGAACAAUUGACUCAGAUGAUGAUACAGCAAGUAUUUCAUCAAAUGAUGCUACCAGGAAUGAACAGCCUGCCGCUUCUCAUGAUGCUGCAUGGCGAAACAUCACUGCAAGCACACGAAAAUUUGUAUGCACAGCAAGAGAGCAGAUACAUUACACUUUACCAUCAUCAUCUGACAGAGAUAUUCAGCCCAUUGAUGUUUACAAGCUUUUUAGUACUGAUGAGGUUAUUCAUUUGAUAGUUAGGGAAACUAAUAGGUUCUUUGAACAAACUGUUGCUGAAAAGCCUAUUACACGGCUCUCUAAGAUGAAUGCAUGGAAACCAGUAACCUCCAGGGAUAUUGAGCAGUUUCUCGCAAUUCUUAUAAAAAAAAGAAUAGUUUUCAUUUUAUGGAAAAAAAAUAAACAUUUCCUAUGUA